rnacentral:rRNA from 1 species
AGAGUUUGAUCAUGGCUCAGGAUAAACGCUGGCGGCGUGCCUAACACAUGCAAGUCGAACGAUCCCGCAAGGGAGAGUGGCGGAAGGGUGAGUAACACGUGGGAAUCUACCUCCUCGCAGGAAACAACCUCUCGAAAGAGAGGCUAAUACCCAAAAGGGUCAGAAAUGAUCAGAGUCGAAAGGCGUGAGGAGAGGAGCCCGCGGCCCAUCAGCUAGUUGGUGAGGUAAUGGCUUACCAAGGCUACGACGGGUAGGGGAUCUGAGAGGAUGUCCCCCACACUGGAACUGAAACACGGUCCAGACGCCUACGGGUGGCAGCAGUGAGGAAUAUUGGACAAUGGGCGAAAGCCCGAUCCAGCAACGCCGCGUGGAGGAUGAAGGCCUUCGGGUCGUAAACUUCUUUAGAGGGAGGCGAGAAAGGACGGUAUCCCUAGAAUAAGCGACGGCAAACUACGUG